rnacentral:rRNA from 1 species
UGCAGUCGUGGGGCAGCAGGGGUAGCAAUACCCGCUGGCGACCGGCAAACGGGUGCGGAACACGUACGCAACCUUCCUUUAACUGGAGAAUAGCCCCUCGAAAGAGGGAUUAAUACUCCGUAGUAUAUUGAUAAGGCAUCUUAUUAAUAUUAUAGCUCCGGCGGUUAAAGAUGGGCGUGCGCCUGAUUAGAUAGUUGGCGGGGUAACGGCCCACCAAGUCUGCGAUCAGUAACUGGUGUGAGAGCACGACCAGUCACACGGGCACUGAGACACGGGCCCGACUCCUACGGGAGGCAGCAGUAAGGAAUAUUGGUCAAUGGACGCAAGUCUGAACCAGCCAUGCCGCGUGGAGGAUUAAGGCCCUCUGGGUUGUAAACUCCUUUUAUUUGGGAAGAAAUGCAGGAAUUCUUUUCUGCUUGACGGUACCAGAGGAAUAAGCACCGGCUAACUCCGUGCCAGCAGCCGCGGUAAUACGGAGGGUGCAAGCGUUAUCCGGAUUCACUGGGUUUAAAGGGUGCGUAGGCGGGCAGGUAAGUCCGUGGUGAAAUCUCUGAGCUUAACUCAGAAACUGCCAUGGAUACUAUUUGUCUUGAAUGUUGUGGAGGUAAGCGGAAUAUGUCAUGUAGCGGUGAAAUGCUUAGAUAUGACAUAGAACACCAAUUGCGAAGGCAGCUUACUACACAAAGAUUGACGCUGANGCACGAAAGCGUGGGGAUCAAACAGGAUUAGAUACCCUGGUAGUCCACGCCCUAAACGAUGAUUACUCGACAUCAGCGAUACACUGUUGGUGUCUGAGCGAAAGCAUUAAGUAAUCCACCUGGGAAGUACGAUCGCAAGAUUGAAACUCAAAGGAAUUGACGG